rnacentral:RNase_P_RNA from 1 species
GAAGCCGGCCAGACAGCCGCUGCGCGCGGAAGAAGCGAGCCUCAACGAUGGUUCGUACCGCGCGGAGAGGAAAGUCCGGGCUCCAUAGGGUAGGGUGGCGGCUAAUCACCGCCCGCCGUGAGGCGAGGAACGGGGCCACAGAGACGAGACCGCCGAUGGCCUGCGUCCCGGACUUCGCCGCCGCGAGGCGGCAAAGUCUCGAAAAAAUGGGUAGGGUGCGGAGACGCGCUCUAUUUCAGGCGCGGGAUCAGGUAAGGGUGAAACGGUGCGGUAAGAGCGCACCGCGUCCGCUGUAAAGCGGAUGGCUAGGCAACCUCCACCCGGAGCAACACCAAAUAGGCAAGCGAUGACGUGACCCGCCGAGCUUGCGGGUAGGUGGCUUGAGCCCCGGAGCAAUCCGGGGCCUAGAGGAAUGGCUGUCAGGGGCCGCGAGGCCCUUACAGAACCCGGCUUAUCGGCCGGCUUCCAUC